GCGGAUGUGGCGGAACUGGCAGACGCGCAGGUCUCAGACUCCUGUGGAUAAUGUUUCCUUGUGGGUUCAAGUCCCAUCGUCCGCACCA
rnacentral:tRNA from 2 species